UACAGAGGUCCCAAGCGUUGUUCGGAUUCACUGGGCGUAAAGGGUGCGUAGGUGGUGAGGUAAGUCCGAUGUGAAAGCUCCGAGCUCAACUCGGAAAUUGCAUUAGAAACUACCUUGCUAGAGGGUUGGAGGGGGGACUGGAAUUCUCGGUGUAGCAGUGACAUGCGUAGAUAUCGAGAGGAACACCAGUGGCGAAGGCGAGUCCCUGGACAACUCCUGACACUGAGGCACGAAAGCUAGGGGAGCAAACAGG
rnacentral:rRNA from 1 species